UACGUAGGGUGCAAGCGUUAAUCGGAAUUAUUGGGCGUAAAGAGCGUGUAGGCGGCCCGAUUAGUCCGCUGUGAAAGUCCAGGGCUCAACCCUGGAAUGCCGGUGGAUACUGUCGGGCUAGAGUCCGGAAGGGGCGAGUGGAAUUCCUGGUGUAGCGGUGAAAUGCGCAGAUAUCAGGAGGAACACCGGUGGCGAAGGCGGUUCUCUGGGCAUUACCUGACGCUGAGGAGCGAAAGUGUGGGGAGCGAACAGG
rnacentral:rRNA from 1 species